rnacentral:rRNA from 1 species
AUGCGCAAGGGCCUUGCCUCCCUUAUGCCGCUCACUGCCUAGUCCAUCUGGCGGCAUCGGAAUGCAUGUAUCUUUGACAACGCCCGACCCUCCACCACGCAAUUGCUUCAAGUUAUCAAGGACGAUGCAAACUCCUGGGCCAUGGCCAGAGUAAAGGACAUUGCUAGUUUCAUCCCGUGGUGA